GUUUUUGUAGUCCAACGGUUAGGAUAAUUGCCUUCCAAGUAAUAGACGACUUGGGUUCGACUCCCUGCAAUAAUU